GACGAACGCUGGCGGCGUGCUUAACACAUGCAAGUCGAACGGAAAGGCCCUGCUUUUGCGGGGUGCUCGAGUGGCGAACGGGUGAGUAACACGUGAGUAACCUGCCCUUGACUUUGGGAUAACUUCAGGAAACUGGGGCUAAUACCGGAUAGGAGCUCCUGCUGCAUGGUGGGGGUUGGAAAGGUUCGGCGGUUGGGGAUGGACUCGCGGCUUAUCAGCUUGUUGGUGGGGUAGUGGCUUACCAAGGCUUUGACGGGUAGCCGGCCUGAGAGGGUGACCGGCCACAUUGGGACUGAGAUACGGCCCAGACUCCUACGGGAGGCAGCAGUGGGGAAUAUUGCACAAUGGGCGGAAGCCUGAUGCAGCAACGCCGCGUGCGGGAUGACGGCCUUCGGGUUGUAAACCGCUUUCGCCUGUGACGAAGCGUGAGUGACGGUAAUGGGUAAAGAAGCACCGGCUAACUACGUG
rnacentral:rRNA from 1 species